GGGGCUAUAGCUCAGCUGGGAGAGCGCUUGCAUGGCAUGCACGAGGUCAGCGGUUCGAUCCCGCUUAGCUCCUCCA
rnacentral:tRNA from 1 species